UCGCGGCCUAUCAGCUUGUUGGUGGGGUAACGGCCUACCAAGGCAUCGACGGGUAGCUGGUCUGAGAGGAUGAUCAGCCACACUGGGACUGAGACACGGCCCAGACUCCUACGGGAGGCAGCAGUGGGGAAUCUUACGCAAUGGGCGAAAGCCUGACGCAGCAACGCCGCGUGCGGGAAGAAGGCCUUCGGGUUGUAAACCGCUUUCAGAAGGAACGAAACUGACGGUACUUUCAGAAGAAGGUGCGGCCAACUACGUGCCAGCAGCCGCGGUGACACGUAGGCACCAAGCGUUGUCCGGAUUUAUUGGGCGUAAAGAGCUCGUAGGCGGUUCGGUAAGUCGGGUGUGAAAACUUUGGGCUCAACCCAAAGCGUGCAUUCGAUACUGCCGUGACUAGAGUUCGGUAGGGGAGUGGGGAAUUCCUAGUGUAGCGGUGAAAUGCGCAGAUAUUAGGAGGAACACCGGUGGCGAAGGCGCCACUCUGGGCCGAAACUGACGCUGAGGAGCGAAAGCGUGGGUAGCAAACAGGAUUAGAUACCCUGGUAGUCCACGCCGUAAACGUUGGGCACUAGGUGUGGGUCUCAACCAACGAGAUCCGCGCCGUCGCAAACGCAUUAAGUGCCCCGCCUGGGGAGUACGG
rnacentral:rRNA from 1 species